AUAAUAGCUUUGCAGUUAACGUAUCAAGAUUAAAUUUACACUUGUAAAGUCACCUUUGAAGAUGAAAGGACAACUGAUCGCGGAUUGGAGUAGCUUGGAGAACAUCUGGUUAGACUGUAAGUGUAAACAAUAUUUGCAAAGCAAUCAUACAAAAUAGUACAAUGAAUGGAACGAAAAAAAAUGAAGACUUGAAAAUAGAGCAAGGUGAAGGCGAUAAGAUUGCAGAAAAAAUAUAGAGGAAGCAUCGGAAGAAGUUACCGGUUAAGUCUUGACUGAGAACGCUGCGUCCAUUAUGAAGUGAUGCAUUUCAUACGGGGAAGACCAAAAACUGUGUUUGGCGACUACGUCUAUCACCUCAACAAAAAGAUGUAAGAUGCUCUCUAUUGGAGUUGUAUUAAGAAAAGGAGCACGGAUAAGCAGAGCCAGUGUGGUGCAACACUAAUUACGCGGUUUUCGGCAGGGUAGAGACGCCAAGUGAUCAUGUUCACCUUUCGUGUAGGUUAGAAAAUGAAUGUCUGUGCAACAAGCAAUCCCUGAAAAGACGAUCGAAGGAAAUGAAUUAAUCUCCUUCUGUUAUAAUCAGCGCUGCACCA